UACCCCACCGCGUACUUGCCGGUAUAAAAACGCAAGACGCGUCCACUCUGCCUUUUUUCCGGGCGUCGUCGUUGACUUUUAAUAAACUAGAAAAGUGAGAUAUAGAACACGUGGCCGCUGACAGGGGUCUCCCUGUCGGCGGCCGCCAGCGCCAAGGUCGAGCGGGCGCCGCGAUCGCUCCCUGCCGCGCCGGCGCAGCGCUGCCGUGCUGCAGUGCUGCAAAUGCAUCCACAUUCCACCACACGUCCAUCCACGAGCAGUCGAUAAACUAUAGUUCACCCGUGAAAGCGUUCCUCUGCAGGUGGCCGCGACGUUUUUGCGGCACCACUUUCUUUGCGGCAACUUACAGAGCACGCAAUGCUUCGCCCUCAUUAACAACAACAACAAAUAAAAUUUACGCGGGAAUUUCAUCCAUCUGUAGACUGCGGCAUUGUUGAGCGUUCAUUCAUUGCGGCAGCCUACAGAGCACCAGCGACUCCGUUACAUGGACGCCGUGGAUUGUGGUCAACUCCACAACACACAGCAUAGUACUAGAGUCAUAAGCUUUUUUUUUUAGAGAAUCGGUACAUUUUUGAAAACAUUUUUUUUUUAAUGUAUGUUUUGCUGGCAACCCUCCGACAUGUUAUUUUGAAAACAUUUAGGAUUAGGUCCGUUUUUUUUUAAAUGCUAACUUUAAGUAAAAUACGUUGUGAGCACAAUUAGUAUUAGAUUAGAUUAGAUUUAUAUUUCGGGAACUCAAAUGCUACUUCAAUAAUUAUUACACUGUCCGUAGAAUUAGUUUAGUCGUUAAUGCACACAUUUGCCGGCCUCACUAGCCACUCUAGCUGUUAAGAAAUGUCACAAACUCAUAACAAAUAAAAUAAAAUAUCUUUUUAUUAUAUAAUCUUAAUAUUAAGAAUAAUUUUUUAGUUUUGUCAUAUAUACAUCUUUUAAUUAUUCUGUUAAGAAUAUUUCUAAGAUAUAAUAUGACUACUUAGUAUCCGAAAAUAAGUAACGCAUAAAUGACUACGUUACAACCGCCUACUGUACAUAUCUUCGAAUUAACUAUGGUUCUACGCAAAUAUUACAAGCCCCUGCGAUGUCACAUACUUCCCUACGUUUAUCUGUGUCGAGUUUUAGUUUUUAGUUUUUUAUUAUUUUUUUUGGUGGUGGGUUUUUUUUCAAAUAAAGUUUUUGGUUUAUUAAGCAUGA